rnacentral:rRNA from 1 species
CGCAAAGGUUGAAACUCAAAGGAAUUGACGGGGACCCGCACAAGCGGUGGAUUAUGUGGGUUUAAUUCGAUGCAACGCGAAGAACCUUACCUGGACUUGACAUGUUAGUGAAACUCCGGUGAAAGCCAGAGCCUCCUUGAGCUUGUUUAAGGACACUUUCACAGGUGAUGCAUGGCUGUCGUCAGCUCGUGUCGUGAGAUGCUCGGUUAAGUCCGAUAACGAGCGCAACCCCUAUCCUUAGUUGCCAGCACAUAAUGGUGGGGACUCUAGGGAAACUGCCCGGGAUAACCGGAAGGAAGGUGGGGUCGAAGUCAAGUCAGUAUGUCCCUUACGUUCAGGGCUACACACGUAAUACAAUGGGGAGUACAGAGGGUAGCAAAGCUGCGAAGUGGAGCCAAUCCCAAAAAACUUCCCCAAGUUCGGAUUGCAGUCUGCAACUCGACUGCAUGAAGCAGGAAUCGCUAGUAAUCGCGCAUCAGCAUGGCGCGGUGAAUACGUUCCCGGGUCUUGUACACACCGCCCGUCACGCCAUGGAAGCUGGUAGCACCCAAUGUCAGUGUCUUAACCUUCGGGAAGGAGCUGCUUAAGGUGAAAUUGGUAACUGGGGCUUUAUUACGGAGGCAAGGUAACC